rnacentral:ncRNA from 1 species
AACAGGUCGCCGACUGCGGCCCCGGACGAGGGAUCAGUACCCGGAACGCGACAAGACUGGCCACA